ensembl:lncRNA
CAUUUUUAUCGUGCAUAAUGAAACUGCCUUUUCUGUUGAUUUAUUUGUGAUGAUGUAAUGAUGACGUCAGGGGGCGUCGGCUAUUUAAAUGUCACCUGAGGCCAGGUGUGUUUUCUAUUUCGAGAGCGGAAGGAGAUACUAUUUUUGACCGCAUUACGCAUUGAAUUCUCCUUUUAUUAUGAGUGUGAUUUAGGUUGUUUUUGCCGAACAAUGAAUAAAGAAUACUGAAGUGACAAUACGAGCAAAUGCGCGUUGAUUUUACCGACCGCUCCUACGUUACGGCUAACGUUACUGGCCCCUCCCCCCGUUGAUACGAACACUGUUUAGGUUGUCACAUGACCAGAGGAAAGGAACACAUCGGUGAUGUCAUCAUAAUAGCAGCUCUGGUUUUCUCCAUUAAUCACAAACUUCCUGAGCGGAGUAAGUGAACCGUCCUCCACUCUGACGCUCUUCCUCCUCCUCUUCCUCCCCCCAUCCCACUGCAGACCUCAGAUCUGCUCUGGUGACACACUGGGAUUAGUUGACAUGCCAUCAUCCAGUCAUCAAGCAGAGGAUUACGUGUUGUGCUCGAGGUAACACAAACGCACACAGUGACACACACUCAGUGACACAAACGCACACAGUGACACACAAAUGUGCAUUGUAUACACGAGCUAUUAAAUGUGCACUUUGACUCUGCAUUAGAAGUCUGUCGGCCAUUUUGAACCCGCAGGUUUGUUUUCUUUCUUUGUGGUGGUUUUUGUUCAAACAAACAAAGAUUUUUCUGAGUAUCAGUUCACUUUCUAUAAAUGUUGAUAUUAAACUUUAAACUACAUUCUUCUCUCAUGAGAUCGUUAUCUCAACACGUUGUGUAUUAAACUGAAACAAAGAGCAACAAAGAAAAGGCCUCAAGCAGCAAAUGACUGUUUAGUUUAAAUGAAUGUGAACGUGAUCUUUUACAUCGGUAAAAAUUCAGUAAUCAGUGAAGCCAAAGCAGAAGAUGAAUUGAUAAACCCAAAUGAACGACGUUCACAGCCUCUGGUAGACGUCCAUCUCACGUAGGAUGAGGCAAAGCGAACGAUGUCACCAUGGUAACAAGCUGCAACGUGAUUAUUGGACUUUCACAGUAAGGAAAUCGUCCUUGAGAGACUGCAGGUGAGAAACAAACACAACCAGAGGCCGAUUGCAUCUGUGACCCCCCCCCUCAAAGAUUCCUCCCCGGGCCGCACGCCGCACGCCGCCACCGAGGCUCGUGAAGCAACAUGUUUGAAAUAUUCAAUCAAAGCAGAACGAAUGUGGAUGUGUGAAACUCAACUGUUGUUUUAUCUUCUGUCUACUUUUAUCUUGUUGAACCUUCACAAACGUAGUGGGACAUAAAGUGAAGGAUUCAUCGUUAUAAUCUGGUUACAUGUAUAAUACGCAUAAUAUGUGUGUGUGUGUGUCUCAGGUCCCUGAGGACUCUCCAGCUGUUGGAGGUGCUGGUUUCUCAGGUGAGGCGCUAUUGAGGACCUGCAGGGUCCUGAACCUCAUCUCAGGUGCACGGGUGACACAAACCUCGAGGUCGGAGGAAACAGAAUAUCGGUGAGAACCAAAACAACUUGUGGAUCGCCGAUCGGAGGUCUCACGUACAAAACGAGACUAACCAUCUGGCAGGAACGAGACGUCCUCUAAACACCGGCCCUGAUGUGGACGGCAGCGCCCAGGUGGGAGGUGCUGAUGGUCGCUGACGUCCCGCCCCCCUCGAGCGCUGGCUGGUGCAAACACACAAACACACAAACACACAACACCAAAAACCUUGUCCAGACAAAUCACGUGACGAAGGAGGAGACCUGACGACGCCCCCGUUGACUGGCAGGACCCUCGACGUGACACGUGACACGAUGGAUUCAUGUCACGUUCUACUGAUGCCGCCACCACACAGGUGAGAAUAAGCCCCUCCUCCAUCCUACGAGAUGCCAUCUUUCGGCGGCCGUCGCCAACUGCCUUCAUCUGGUGCCUCUCUUUCUCCACCGCCUACACACACACGCGCAGACACACACACGCCGCCGUGCAAACGCACAAACACGCGCCCACUCAGAGCAGGUAGAGACGUGUGAGGUCCUUCAGGGAGAAGAAGGAGCGUCAGAGGAGCUCGUGACAGAAGUUCUCCUGCUCUCAGAGAGUCAAUAAUAGUGUUUGACAGCAGCUGAUUCUGGAGGUUCUCCACCUCCAGCAGCUCACCAGAGGAAGCCGGGACACUUUGUUGUGUCGGAGUGGAGGAAACAAAGAUGGGUUUCUGGAGGAUGUGGAUGCAACCUUAGACUUCAGGACGAGACCAGUGACGUCGGUCAAAUGUGACCACUGCUGUAAUAACGAUGUUAGCAGGUGUCACCAGGAGCGACCGGGUCCAGAUAGAACACUGAAGGAGCACAAAGGAGGAAAGAGCGGGACGUCCCGCGCCAGGCGCCCCCCCGUGCAGCACCUCUUCUUCCUCCUGAGUGACAGCUCAUCGUAAUCGGCUCCUACGAACAGGAAGUCGACUUCAUGUGAAGUCAUUUUGUAAUCUGAUUUAGUUUGAUUUCAUUUAGUCAAUCUGAUUCCAUAAUAAAUGAGGAACACCAGAGAAGCCGGUGGACAUGUUGGUGACUGUUCUCCUGUCACCACGGCGACGUGAGGACGCCGUCCUCUUCGCUGGUGCAACGGGCCAGUGGACGCUCACAGCACGAAUCCUCUGUUCGCUAACAGGCAGAGAGCAACGGCAGGGACUCCGUGGUUACCGCCGAGGGAUGCUGGCUACUGCAGUUGCCAUGGUUACGACACGGAACUCUCAGUUUGUGAUGACCAACAUUUCAAAUGGAUAUCUGGUGACGGACGACGGACGCGCGAUGAGGACACACAGAAGAUAGUUGAUGAUCCGUCACGAGAGGCCGCACACGGCACCAACACGGGACCUCCCACUUCCUGUCAUCACGGCCAUGUGACCACGCUCUCCAGCACCAGCGUGAGGAGAGAGACAGAUGUUCAUGUCACAGGAUCUUUAAGACCAAUGUAAUAUAUUAUUGUUAUAUUAUAUUAUAUAUAUCAUACCUGACCUCUCGCUCCUCUCAACCAGCCAGUCGAUGUUCACCGGCUGGAGAUUGAGAGCGUAGAAAACCAGAAUAAACCAAAAGAGAAGUAGAACUUUACCUCCUGGACUGAUCCAACAAACUCCACCUGGACUAAGCAGCACAAACCAGAAGUUCAGGACGGAGGCCGAUUUGAUCUGGAGGAGAUUCAGCAUCUCCAGCAUCUCUUUCCAGGUGAUGUUUGGGAUGGAGAAGUCUUCAGGGAGUCUUCAGUUCUUAGCUGAGAUCUUUGGCAGAUCCUCUUUUGAUGUCUUCAGUCCCUCCUUCCUCCCUUCUUGUGGCUGAUGUUUCUGAAGGCCACAACUUUGAAAAAGCCAAAGCUUGGAGAGCGACAGCAGGCUGAUUCUGUGCCGCUCUGCACUCUGAUUCUACAGCUACGACUCUCAAACAGGCUGUGAGGAACAUCUCACUCUGCAGACACACACCUGGAACAUACUUAUGACGGCUGAAUUGCGCCACCUGCUGUUACCACGUGGUGCACGUAGGGCCCAAAGGACAGGGAGGAUUGUGGGUAAAUCCUCCAUAGAAUUGAGGAUUAAAAAGGAUGUAACGUGCUUUUCUAUGUCUACGUUUCUAUGUGCUUUACUUUAACAAUUAAUUACGGCGACUAGCUUUAUCAUUUUGGAUGUUCGAUGUCUGUUUGUAAUAAUGUCCGUUUUAGCGAUCUAACGCUCGCUUUAUGUCGUCCUCCAGGACACGUGAUGCCCACACCUCACAGGGGGCCACAGGCCUCUCCUACAUGUUACUCCCAUGAGCCUCGGCUCUAGUUCGCUGAAUGCGUCGCUCCACCCAAAGUGGGUGAAGUGAAAGUGGAAGAGCCGCCGGCGUGCUCCUGGUCCCUGAUUAUUCUGCAGAGCUCCACUAAGAAUCAAUCAAUUAAAGAAGAAGAGAAGCAAAGGUCGUCUUCAGCGACCCGCAGUGAUGUGAUUUCACUUGGAGGAAGGUUCCUCCCCCUGUUGCAUAACCAGUGGAAUGUCAGGUUUCCCUCACAGCUGACCUUUAGUAAACACACACACGUGUACACACACACAGCAUGUGUGCAGUCACACGCGUGUCGACUUCCAAACUCCUCGUUCUUGAUCAAUUAUUCAAACGUUACGCGUCGUGUCCGUGAGGCUUUGAGCUGAAUAAUUAGAACAGUCACUUCGUUCCUCCUUUUAAAGGGACAGUGACUCGUUCCUCCUCGACAGCCUCCAAAGUUCUGAGAGCGAAACACUUUCUCGGAGGAAAAGAAGUAAAUAUUGACUUUUAAACUCCAUCUUGUUGUGGAUGCACAGCUGUUUGUUCACAUGGAGCUCGAGGUUUUCCCACGACAAGGAUCACGAGGCAAACCGGAGACGUGCCACUUCUUUCAUGAGGCUGAGCUUGAUUUAGAACCUUGAUGACACAUUUGUGUCCAUGCAGAGAGAAUUUCUAUCUGUGAUAUUUUAAGGUACAAAUUCUUCUUUAUUAAACUCGGCCGGAUUGAAAUGUAAAUAAUUUAGAAUUCAACAUUUAUUAAGCAGGUAUGAAUUAUACAUUCAUGCAAAAUCUUGGCAAUGGGACUCCAUCCUGAUAUAGGAUAGAAGGGUGGAGAAGUCGGAAAAGACCCAAUGACUGGAGGGGGGGGGUCGUAUCGGACAAUGAUAAUAAGGACAAUGACAAUAAGGACAAUGAUAAUAAUGAUAACUAAGGACAAUGAUAAUAAGAUAAUGAUAAUAAGGACAAUGAUAAUAAGGACAAUGAUAAUAAGGAUAAUGAUAAUAAGGACAAUGAUAAUAAGGACAAUGAUAAUAAGGACAAUGAUAAAAAUGAUAAUAAGGAUAAUGAUAAUAAGGACA